CAGCACAUCUUCCACUCUGCUUGUGAAGGUUCCUUGAUCUGCUGCUGUCUGAACUGGGAUGCUUUAAGUGCUCAUGUAAACAAUGCUGAAAGCUGAUUUUUUUUAUUUUUUAUUUUAUUUUUUAGGCAAAAGGAUCAGGUUACAUUUCACAGGUAUUAAAAAAUUACACUGAUCAUGCCUGUGAUGGAGAAUAUGUUUCCCUGAGGUGCCCCCACAGAACUACCAUCAGCAUCCAGUCUUCUUUCUAUGGCAGAAUUGUACCAAGUCAUCAGAUGUGUCCUUCUCGCUCUCCCCGCUCCUUUGCAACCUUAAUUAAGGAAGAUGUUGCCUGUUCAGUUGGCACUUCCCUUCAGGUAUUUCAUGUUAAACUGGAUCUGUUCAUUUUGGAGUUCUUUCCUAGGCCAGACAUUUCUUAAUUUUCCUGUGGUUCUAGUCAGUAUUC
rnacentral:lncRNA from 1 species